rnacentral:rRNA from 1 species
UAGGGAAUCUUCGGCAAUGGGGGGAACCCUGACCGAGCAACGCCGCGUGAGUGAAGAAGGUUUUCGGAUCGUAAAGCUCUGUUGUUAAGGAAGAACGAGUGUGAGAAUGGAAAGUUCAUACUGUGACGGUACUUAACCAGAGAGGGACGGCUAACUACGUGCCAGCAGCCGCGGUAAUACGUAGGUCCCGAGCGUUGUCCGGAUUUAUUGGGCGUAAAGCGAGCGCAGGCGGUUAGAUAAGUCUGAAGUUAAAGGCAGUGGCUCAACCAUUGUAGGCUUUGGAAACUGUUUAACUUGAGUGCAGAAGGGGAGAGUGGAAUUCCAUGUGUAGCGGUGAAAUGCGUAGAUAUAUGGAGGAACACCGGUGGCGAAAGCGGCUCUCUGGUCUGUAACUGACGCUGAGGCUCGAAAGCGUGGGGAGCGAACAGG